rnacentral:lncRNA from 1 species
GCUGUGGAAAUUAUCAAGCUUGUAUUCGAGUCUCAUUUUAUUGUUCUUAAUGAAUGUCAUUACUAUCCCAAUUUUUUUUUUAAAUAUUAUUUUUGUAGGCCUUUUAGCCAAAUCAAAUUAUGAAAUAUCAAUAAAAAAAAGUUUUUAUAAUAUCAUUUUGAAUGGUGCUGCUAUAAUGCAAGGACAGUUGAACAAUAAUAUCUAUAUUG